rnacentral:rRNA from 1 species
ACGAACGCUGGCGGCGUGCCUAAUACAUGCAAGUCGAGCGGAAUGAUGAAGAAGCUUGCUUCUUCUGAUUUUAGCGGCGGACGGGUGAGUAACACGUGGGCAACCUACCUUGUAGAUUGGGAUAACUCCGGGAAACCGGGGCUAAUACCGAAUAAUCCAUUUUGCUUCAUGGCGAGAUGUUGAAAGACGGUUUCGGCUGUCACUACAAGAUGGGCCCGCGGCGCAUUAGCUAGUUGGUAGGGUAAUGGCCUACCAAGGCGACGAUGCGUAGCCGACCUGAGAGGGUGAUCGGCCACACUGGGACUGAGACACGGCCCAGACUCCUACGGGAGGCAGCAGUAGGGAAUCCUCCACAAUGGACGAAAGUCUGAUGGAGCAACGCCGCGUGAGUGAAGAAGGUUUUCGGAUCGUAAAACUCUGUUGUAAGGGAAGAACACGUACGAGAGUAACUGCUCGUACCUUGACGGUACCUUAUUAGAAAGCCACGGCUAACUACGUG